UUAAGCGACUAAGCGUACACGGUGGAUGCCCUGGCAGUCAGAGGCGAUGAAGGACGUGCUAAUCUGCGAAAAGCGCCGGCGAGGUGAUAUGAACCUUUGACCCGGCGAUGUCCGAAUGGGGAAACCCAGUGUGAUUCGUCACACUAUCGUUAACUGAAUACAUAGGUUAACGAGGCGAACCGGGGGAACUGAAACAUCUAAGUACCCCGAGGAAAAGAAAUCAACCGAGAUUCCCCCAGUAGCGGCGAGCGAACGGGGAGCAGCCCAGAGUCUGAAUCAGCUUGUGUGUUAGUGGAAGCGUCUGGAAAGUCGCACGGUACAGGGUGACAGUCCCGUACACGAAAGCACACAGGUUGUGAACUCGAAGAGUAGGGCGGGACACGUGGUAUCCUGUCUGAAUAUGGGGGGACCAUCCUCCAAGGCUAAAUACUCCUGACUGACCGAUAGUGAACCAGUACCGUGAGGGAAAGGCGAAAAGAACCCCGGAGAGGGGAGUGAAAAAGAACCUGAAACCGUGUACGUACAAGCAGUGGGAGCACCUUCGUGGUGUGACUGCGUACCUUUUGUAUAAUGGGUCAGCGACUUAUAUUCUGUAGCAAGGUUAACCGUAUAGGGGAGCCGAAGGGAAACCGAGUCUUAACUGGGCGUUAAGUUGCAGGGUAUAGACCCGAAACCCGGUGAUCUAGCCAUGGGCAGGUUGAAGGUUGGGUAACACUAACUGGAGGACCGAACCGACUAAUGUUGAAAAAUUAGCGGAUGACUUGUGGCUGGGGGUGAAAGGCCAAUCAAACCGGGAGAUAGCUGGUUCUCCCCGAAAGCUAUUUAGGUAGCGCCUCGUGAACUCAUCUUCGGGGGUAGAGCACUGUUUCGGCUAGGGGGCCAUCCCGGCUUACCAACCCGAUGCAAACUACGAAUACCGAAGAAUGUUAUCACGGGAGACACACGGCGGGUGCUAACGUCCGUCGUGAAGAGGGAAACAACCCAGACCGCCAGCUAAGGUCCCAAAGUCAUGGUUAAGUGGGAAACGAUGUGGGAAGGCACAGACAGCCAGGAUGUUGGCUUAGAAGCAGCCAUCAUUUAAAGAAAGCGUAAUAGCUCACUGGUCGAGUCGGCCUGCGCGGAAGAUGUAACGGGGCUAAACCAUGCACCGAAGCUGCGGCAGCGACACUAUGUGUUGUUGGGUAGGGGAGCGUUCUGUAAGCCGUUGAAGGUGUGCUGUGAGGCAUGCUGGAGGUAUCAGAAGUGCGAAUGCUGACAUAAGUAACGAUAAAGCGGGUGAAAAGCCCGCUCGCCGGAAGACCAAGGGUUCCUGUCCAACGUUAAUCGGGGCAGGGUGAGUCGACCCCUAAGGCGAGGCCGAAAGGCGUAGUCGAUGGGAAACAGGUUAAUAUUCCUGUACUUGGUGUUACUGCGAAGGGGGGACGGAGAAGGCUAUGUUAGCCGGGCGACGGUUGUCCCGGUUUAAGCAUGUAGGCGGAACGAUUAGGUAAAUCCGGUCGUUUUUUAACGCUGAGGUGUGAUGACGAGGCACUACGGUGCUGAAGUAACAAAUGCCCUGCUUCCAGGAAAAGCCUCUAAGCAUCAGGUAACAUCAAAUCGUACCCCAAACCGACACAGGUGGUCAGGUAGAGAAUACCAAGGCGCUUGAGAGAACUCGGGUGAAGGAACUAGGCAAAAUGGUGCCGUAACUUCGGGAGAAGGCACGCUGAUAUGUAGGUGAAGCCCCUGCGGGUGGAGCUGAAAUCAGUCGAAGAUACCAGCUGGCUGCAACUGUUUAUUAAAAACACAGCACUGUGCAAACACGAAAGUGGACGUAUACGGUGUGACGCCUGCCCGGUGCCGGAAGGUUAAUUGAUGGGGUUAGCGGUAACGCGAAGCUCUUGAUCGAAGCCCCGGUAAACGGCGGCCGUAACUAUAACGGUCCUAAGGUAGCGAAAUUCCUUGUCGGGUAAGUUCCGACCUGCACGAAUGGCGUAAUGAUGGCCAGGCUGUCUCCACCCGAGACUCAGUGAAAUUGAACUCGCUGUGAAGAUGCAGUGUACCCGCGGCAAGACGGAAAGACCCCGUGAACCUUUACUAUAGCUUGACACUGAACACUGGUCCUUGAUGUGUAGGAUAGGUGGGAGGCUUUGAAGUGUGGACGCCAGUCUGCAUGGAGCCGUCCUUGAAAUACCACCCUUUAAUGGCUGGUGUUCUAACGUAGACCCGUAAUCCGGGUUGCGGACAGUGUCUGGUGGGUAGUUUGACUGGGGCGGUCUCCUCCCAAAGAGUAACGGAGGAGCACGAAGGUUAGCUAAUCCUGGUCGGACAUCAGGAGGUUAGUGCAAUGGCAUAAGCUAGCUUGACUGCGAGAGUGACGGCUCGAGCAGGUGCGAAAGCAGGUCAUAGUGAUCCGGUGGUUCUGAAUGGAAGGGCCAUCGCUCAACGGAUAAAAGGUACUCCGGGGAUAACAGGCUGAUACCGCCCAAGAGUUCAUAUCGACGGCGGUGUUUGGCACCUCGAUGUCGGCUCAUCACAUCCUGGGGCUGAAGUAGGUCCCAAGGGUAUGGCUGUUCGCCAUUUAAAGUGGUACGCGAGCUGGGUUUAGAACGUCGUGAGACAGUUCGGUCCCUAUCUGCCGUGGGCGCUGGAGAAUUGAGGGGGGCUGCUCCUAGUACGAGAGGACCGGAGUGGACGCAUCACUGGUGUUCGGGUUGUCAUGCCAAUGGCACUGCCCGGUAGCUAAAUGCGGAAAAGAUAAGUGCUGAAAGCAUCUAAGCACGAAACUUGCCCCGAGAUGAGUUCUCCCUGAGACUUUAAGUCUCCUGAAGGAACGUUGAAGACGACGACGUUGAUAGGUCGGGUGUGUAAGCGCAGCGAUGCGUUGAGCUAACCGAUACUAAUGAACCGUGAGGCUUAACCU
rnacentral:rRNA from 1 species